rnacentral:rRNA from 1 species
GACGAACGCUGGCGGCGUGCUUAACACAUGCAAGUCGAACGUGAUUUUUGUGGAAAUUCUUUCGGGAAUGGAAAUGAAAUGAAAGUGGCGAACGGGUGAGUAACACGUGAGCAACCUACCUUACACAGGGGGAUAGCCGUUGGAAACGACGAUUAAUACCGCAUGAGACCACAGAAUCGCAUGAUAUAGGGGUCAAAGAUUUAUCGGUGUAAGAAGGGCUCGCGUCUGAUUAGCUAGUUGGAAGGGUAAAGGCCUACCAAGGCGACGAUCAGUAGCCGGUCUGAGAGGAUGAACGGCCACAUUGGAACUGAGACACGGUCCAAACUCCUACGGGAGGCAGCAGUGGGGAAUAUUGCACAAUGGGGGGAACCCUGAUGCAGCGACGCCGCGUGAGCGAAGAAGGUUUUCGAAUCGUAAAGCUCUGUCCUAUGAGAAGA